rnacentral:rRNA from 1 species
GAUGAACGCUGGCGGCGUGCCUAAUACAUGCAAGUCGAGCGAACAGACGAGGAGCUUGCUCCUUUGACGUUAGCGGCGGACGGGUGAUUAACACGUGGGUAACCUACCUAUAAGACUGGGAUAACUUCGGGAAACCGGAGCUAAUACCGGAUAAGAUUUCGAUCCGCAGGGUUCGAUAGUGAAAGAUGGCUUUGCUAUCACUUAUAGAUGGACCUGCGCCGUAUUAUCUAGUUGGUAAGGUAACGGCUUACCAAGGCAACGAUACGUAGCCGACCUGAGAGGGUGAUCGGCCACACUGGAACUGAGACACGGUCCAGAAUCCUACGGGAGGCAGCAGUAGGGAAUCUGCCGCAAUGGGCGAAAGCCUGACGGAGCACCGCCGCGUGAGUGAUGAAGGUCUCCGGAUCGUAAAACUCUGUUAUUAGGGACGAACAAACGUGUAAGUAACUGUGCACGACUUGACGGUACCUAAUGAGAAAGCCACGGCUAACUACGUG